UUCGUUUGACUCGCGCCCGGUUGCUCUGCCCUCCGCUUCUUCUCCAAUCGGACGACGGAGCCGCCGUCCGACGAAUCACGCCACCGCCCCCGCUUCCGCAUCCACCUCGUCGGCUACCGCUGAAUCUGAGCUACAGCUAAUAUUUUCUCGUUCGUUCUGCCCCUUCAUCGCGUUGCUCCUCCGGCGAACGACGGAGCCCGCCGUCCGACAAACCACGCCGCCGCACUUACACAUCCGCCUCGUCCGCCACCUCCGCAUCUACAUUCUCCUCCGUCUUCAACGGCGACCGGGCUCUUCCUCUCCCAGUCGCCGUCCUUGUUGCUGAUGUAGGGGAUGCGAGGGAGGCGGAAGCGGCAUAAUCUCUUGCGUGUGUGAAUAGGGGUGCAUGUCUGUGUGCUUGUAUGAAUAUGUUGGGGUGUGCAAUGAGGAAAGAUCAACUGGCUUGUUUUGGGUUUCAUGCGCAACUUUAGUAGGAAAUAGCAGUGUUGUACAAAAAUCCUAGUUUUGCGAACUAGAAUGAUAGUUUGCUAGGUUAUGCUUGCCCAAGUUGAUUCACUGUACUCGGUGAAAGCUAAUUUUCAUCGUUUGAAGAAAUCUCGAGGCCUUAUCCGAUGAUUUCUUGGCAUUUUGUCUCUCUUAUGUCUUCUUUUGCGUGUCCCAGUUAGAUAUUUGGGGUGAUGACGAACCGAAUUCUGACUAGCAAGU
rnacentral:lncRNA from 1 species